rnacentral:misc_RNA from 1 species
GAUGAAGAACGUAGCGAAAUGCGAUAAGUAAUGUGAAUUGCAGAAUUCAGUGAAUCAUCGAAUCUUUGAACGCACAUUGCGCCCGCCAGUAUUCUGGCGGGCAUGCCUGUUCGAGCGUCAUUACAACCCUCAGGCCCCCGGGCCUGGCGUUGGGGAUCGGCGGAAGCCCCCUGCGGGCACAACGCCGUCCCCCAAAUACAGUGGCGGUCCCGCCGCAGCUUCCAUUGCGUAGUAGCUAACACCUCGCAACUGGAGAGCGGCGCGGGCACGCCGUAAAACACCCAACUUCUGAAUGUUGACCUCGAAUCAGGUAGGAAUACCCGCUGAACUUAAGCAUAUCAAUAAUCGGAGGA